CGGACGGGUGAGUAAUGUCUGGGAAACUGCCUGAUGGAGGGGGAUAACUACUGGAAACGGUAGCUAAUACCGCAUAACGUCGCAAGACCGAAAGACGGGGGACCUUCGGGCCUCUUGCCAUCGGAUGUGCCCAGAUGGGAUUAGCUAGUAGGUGGGGUAACGGCUCACCUAGGCGACGAUCCCUAGCUGGUCUGAGAGGAUGACCAGCCACACUGGAACUGAGACACGGUCCAG
rnacentral:rRNA from 1 species